GAUGAACGCUGGCGGCGUGCCUAAUACAUGCAAGUCGAGCGAACGGACGAGAAGCUUGCUUCUCUGAUGUUAGCGGCGGACGGGAGAGUAACACGUGGAUAACCUACCUAUAAGACUGGGAUAACUUCGGGAAACCGUAGCUAAUACCGGAUAAUAUUUUGAACCGCAUGGUUCAAAAGUGAAAGACGGUCUUGCUGUCACUUAUAGAUGGAUCCGCGCUGCAUUAGCUAGUUGGUAAGGUAACGGCUUACCAAGGCAACGAUGCAUAGCCGACCUGAGAGGGUGAUCGGCCACACUGGAACUGAGACACGGUCCAGACUCCUACGGGGGGCAGCAGUAGGGAAUCUCCCGCAAUGGGCGAAAGCCUGACGGAGCAACGCCGCGUGAGUGAUGAAGGUCUUCGGAUCGUAAAACUCUGUUAUUAGGGAAGGACAUAUGUGUAAGUAACUGUGCACAUCUUGACGGUACCUAAUCAGAAAGCCACGGCUAACUACGUG
rnacentral:rRNA from 1 species